rnacentral:rRNA from 1 species
AGAGUUUGAUCAUGGCUCAGGAUGAACGCUAGCGGCAGGCUUAAUACAUGCAAGUCGUGGGGCAGCGCGGGUAGCAAUACCUGGCGGCGACCGGCAAACGGGUGCGGAACACGUACGCAACCUUCCUUUAAGCGGGGAAUAGCCCAGGGAAACUUGGAUUAAUACCCCAUAAGACAGUGGAGUGGCAUCACUCAGCUGUUAAAGCUCCGGCACUUAAAGAUGGGCGUGCGGCUGAUUAGGUAGUUGGCGGGGUAACGGCCCACCAAGCCGACGAUCAGUAACUGGUGUGAGAGCACGACCAGUCACACGGGCACUGAGACACGGGCCCGACUCCUACGGGAGGCAGCAGUAAGGAAUAUUGGUCAAUGGACGCAAGUCUGAACCAGCCAUGCCGCGUGGAGGAUGAAGGCCCUCUGGGUUGUAAACUUCUUUUAUUGGGGAAGAAACCUGACUUUUCUAAGGCAGUUGACGGUACCCGAUGAAUAAGCACCGGCUAACUCCGUGCCAGCAGCCGCGGUAAUACGGAGGGUGCAAGCGUUAUCCGGAUUCACUGGGUUUAAAGGGUGCGUAGGUGGGCAGGUAAGUCAGUGGUGAAAUCUCUGGGCUUAACCCAGAAACUGCCGUUGAUACUAUCUGUCUUGAAUAUAGUGGAGGUGAGCGGAAUAUGUCAUGUAGCGGUGAAAUGCUUAGAUAUGACAUAGAACAUCGAUUGCGAAGGCAGCUCGCUACACUAUCAUUGACACUGAGCACGAAAGCGUGGGGAUCAAACAGGAUUAGAUACCCUGGUAGUCCACGCCCUAAACGAUGGAUACUCGACAUCAGCGAUACACUGUUGGUGUCUGAGCGAAAGCAUUAAGUAUCCCACCUGGGAAGUACGACCGCAAGGUUGAAACUCAAAGGAAUUGACGGGGUCCGCACAAGCGGUGGGAGCAUGGUGGUUUAAUUCGAUGAUACGCCGAGGGAACCUUACCUGGGCUAG